UUUUCCCCCCAACCCUAACGGCGCCUAAGCCUAACCCUAUCAGCCCUCCGCCAGUCCGCCUCACCUCACUCACCCAGCCCCCAGCCCCCAGCCGCCCGCCGUCAUCCUCUUCGUCUCACCGCCGGUCUGAACUCUGAAGGAACCGACUCAACCAAGGGAGUAGGAACAGGACAGAUACAGACCCGCCACCCGCGAACUCGCCGUUGCCGCGAAGUCGCCGUUGCCGCGAACUCGCCGUUGCCGCGAACUCGCCGUUGCCGCGCAGUCGAACUCGCCGUUCCAGCGCCGUCGCCCUCGCCCUCGCCCAGUCGCCAUUGCUUUUCCGAUCGAACUCGCCGUUGCCUCGCCCUUCUACUCUGUGACUCUGUCAAACAGUGUUUGUGAAAUUCAGGGCAUGGAUUGAAUCUAUGUGUAGUUCGAACUAGCCCUACUUGAGCAUUUCCUUUGGAUGGUAAAUGACUGGUUUUGUUUAUCAGUUUAUAAGAGUUUAUCAAUUAAAAAUAUUAUCAGUUGGCAUCACUUUUGGCGGUCCGGCAAUACUCCGCUAUAAGGAUCGAUUUAAAGAAGCUGUCUUCUUGGCUUUUGACUCACCAUCCUGGAAGGUUAAUGGGGCUGCUGAUCAUCUUCUACGAUCCCUUCUUGGAAGUUAGGUUCAUUAUUAUCCAAUAGAUCAGAUCUCAAGUUUCAAGUGUCUUCUUCUCUGCUUCAAGCCUUCAACCCUCUCAGUCAGGUCAUGACAAAGAGCAAGGCAAUGGGUAUCCAUAUAAUCAACGAAGUCACAGAGCAAAUCAUGACAGAAACCUUAUAUGGUGAUAGUCGUAGGCUGCAGCAAGUCUUGGCUGACUUCUUAUUGAGUUGCAUCAAUUUUACGCCAACCAGAGGUCAAGUUGUUGUUGCAGCCUCUUUAACGAAAGAUCAAUUAGGCAAAUCAGUUCAUUUGGCUUACUUGGAGAUAAGCAUAACACAUGAUGGUGUUGGUGUUCCGGAAACACUGCUGAACAAAAUGUUCGGACGAGACGGACAAGAAUCCGAGGAGGGUAUUAGUCUGCUCAUCAGCAGAAAGUUGCUGAAGCUCAUGAAUGGAGACGUGCGGUAUCUGAGAGAAGCUGGCUAAUCAUCUUUCAUCUUAACAGUUGAACUGGCUGCUUCCCAGAAAUUGAUUGCUUAAAGUUAUAGGAAAUAAAGAAAUACUAUCAGUUUUUGUGCAUCAGAAAAGCAAGUGUGCAAGAAAUCACUUUUCUUGUACAACAUACCUUAAGAGUAAGAGUAACAUAGUCUCAAGUCUUAACGCUUCUGUAACUCCUUGUACGGUACGGUGUAUAUAUGUAUGAAUCUUCACGUUAUUCAGCUAUUCACAUAAACUAUUAUAUAUUUAUAUUACUUACUCUUCCUGCAA